UCUUCAUUUCACACACUCUCUCACAGAUGAGAGAGGCGGGAGAGCGUGCGAAAUGAAGAGA
rnacentral:pre_miRNA from 1 species